GUGUCAGCCGCCGCGGUAAUACGAAGGGUGCAAGCGUUACUCGGAAUUACUGGGCGUAAAGCGUGCGUAGGUGGUUCGUUAAGUCCGAUGUGAAAGCCCUGGGCUCAACCUGGGAAUGGCAUUGGAUACUGGCGGGCUAGAGUGCGGUAGAGGAUAGUGGAAUUCCUGGUGUAGCAGUGAAAUGCGUAGAGAUCAGGAGGAACAUCCGUGGCGAAGGCGACUGUCUGGACCAGCACUGACACUGAGGCACGAAAGCGUGGGGAGCAAACAGGAUUAGAUACCCUGGUAGUCCACGCCCUAAACGAUGCGAACUGGAUGUUGGGCUCAACUUGGAGCUCAGUAUCGAAGCUAACGCGUUAAGUUCGCCGCCUGGGGAGUACGGUCGCAAGACUGAA
rnacentral:rRNA from 1 species